rnacentral:rRNA from 1 species
UAAUACGGGGGGAGCAAGCGUUGUUCGGAUUUACUGGGCGUAAAGGGCGCGUAGGCGGUCAGCACAAGUCAGUUGUGAAAUCUCCGGGCUUAACUCGGAAAGGUCAACUGAUACUGUGCGACUAGAGUGCGGAAGGGGCAACUGGAAUUCUCGGUGUAGCGGUGAAAUGCGUAGAUAUCGAGAGGAACACCUGCGGCGAAGGCGGGUUGCUGGGCCGACACUGACGCUGAUGCGCGAAAGCCAGGGGAGCGAACGGGAUUAGAUACCCCGGUAGUCCUGGCCUUAAACGAUGGAUGCUUGGUGUAGCGGGUAUCGAUCCCUGCUGUGCCGAAGCUAACGCAUUAAGCAUUCCGCCUGGGGAGUACGGUCGCAAGGCUG